rnacentral:rRNA from 1 species
CCUACGGGUGGCAGCAGUGAGGAAUAUUGGUCAAUGGGCGAGAGUCUGAACCAGCCAAGUCGCGUGAAGGAUGACUGCCCUAUGGAUUGUAAACUUCUUUUAUAUGGGAAUAAAAUAUUCCACGUGUGGGAUUUUGUGUGUACCCUAUGAAUAAGCAUCGGCUAACUCCGUGCCAGCAGCCGCGGUAAUACGGAGGAUCCGAGCGUUAUCCGGAUUUAUUGGGUUUAAAGGGAGCGUAGGUGGAUUGGUAAGUCAGUUGUGAAAGUUUGUGGCUUAACCUUUAAAGGGCAGUUGAAACUGGCAGGCUUGAGUGCAGGAGAGGUGGGCGGAAUUCGUGGUGUAGCGGUGAAAUGCAUAGAUAUCACGAAGAACUCCGAUUGCGAAGGCAGCUUACUGGACUGCAACUGACACUGAGGCUCGAAAGUGUGGGUAUCGAACAGGAUUAGAUACCCCAGUAGUC